rnacentral:tRNA from 1 species
CCUCGGGUACGCGGGACUGGGCGGCGGACUCAAGAUCCGCUCCUGUAGAGGUCCACGGGUUCGAAUCCCGUCCCCCGCA